GGGUGCUCUUCCUCUUCCCCCGGAACAUCGAAGUGACUCCUAUAGACAGCUCAGAUGUGGUGCCAUCUGGUUUGGAUGGAGAUGUAUUAGACUGGUGAAGCACAUCUCUGCAGAGGCCUGUGUGGACAUUUCCAGUGAGGAUCGAUGAAGGGUGAAGGCUGCCCCUGAAUGUGGAUGAUGAUACCAUCUCAUAAUCUAGUACCCUGGAUGGAAUAAAGGGUGGGGCGGGGCGGGGCGGGGUACCAGUCAACCCAGGAUUAGGUUUCCAUGCUUCCUGGCUACCUUGAUAUGAACUGCUCUGCUCUGCUCUGCCACACCCUCCCCAGCACGAGAACCUGAAACCUUUGUGAUCUUGAAUCAAAUGAAUCAAACGACACUUAGGUUGCUUGUUGGGGGUGGGGGACCUUUUUAUUAAAGGUAAGAAAAGUAAGCAAUGUAGA